AGAGCACCAAAGACCCAGAUUUUGACAUCAUUUCCUGGUUGAACAAGAUGAAGCAGAGUAAUAAAUGGGUAGGCUUUACCUGAUUGGCUGAAUUGAGGUAUGUAAAUAUUUUCAUUUUAAAGUAAAAAUAUUAAUGUUUGAAAUAAAUGAUGGAAUGUGGGAAUAUUACAAAAAUUCUAGAAAUACCAGGGGAGAUUGUAGGAGUGGGGAUUGAUAUUUUUGGCAGGGUGUCAUUUACUGCCGAUCUCUGUAAGUUCUAAAUAACUGCAAAUUUGACCUAUAAACGCCGCGGAACGGUAUAUUUUUUUUCGUGUUUUUAAUAAGUGCUUAGAACGAACUUUCAAAUAAUACCAGUGAUUUGUUUGAACGGGAAUUAGUAAAUUACUUGGAGGGCAAAAGCUUCCUGGACCCGGGAGAGCUUGGUAUCUGAUCGGCGGGGGGCAUUUUCUCUAUAUAAGAAGAAGAUGGAGACUCGCUACCCACCCGAUAUAUUUUGUCGGACAAAUUUCUGUACAUUGCAGUGACAACUGUAUCCAGAUUUCAUCACAGGAAUGAAAGUUUUUCACUCUUUGGAAAAGCACCUGCAGCAGGGAGGGGACAUUCAUUAAGAUGGCCACAGAUUCCAAGACACUGAAGUGACAGGCCUCAAAUUUCAUACAUGUAUAUUGGUAAGUAUAAGGUCUUUGAAAAUUACAAAAUUGACUAAUUCUGGGAUAGGUAAAUAUGUAAGUAUAGGAAAAAGAGCACCAAAGACCCAGAUUUUGACAUCAUUUCCUGGUUGAACAAGAUGAAGCAGAGUAAUAAAUGGGUAGGCUUUACCUGAUUGGCUGAA